rnacentral:rRNA from 1 species
UACGAAGGGGGCUAGCGUUGCUCGGAAUCACUGGGCGUAAAGCGCACGUAGGCGGAUCUUUAAGUCAGGGGUGAAAUCCCAAGGCUCAACCUUGGAACUGCCUUUGAUACUGGGGAUCUCGAGUCCGGAAGAGGUUGGUGGAACUGCGAGUGUAGAGGUGAAAUUCGUAGAUAUUCGCAAGGACACCAGUGGCGAAGGCGGCCAACUGGUCCGGUACUGACGCUGAGGUGCGAAAGCGUGGGGAGCAAACAGG